CACAUUUUUCCAUAUUCUCAAUUCGAAAUAUUCCAAUACAGCAUAUUUCAUUGAUAUAAUCGAAUGAAUUCGUUAUUUUCAUGGCACUUUUAUCGUCUCCGCGAGUGCAUUCGAAAUAAGCCACUGCUAGCCGCCUCCACCGCCACCAGCAUUUCUUCUCGACGCUUCACGGUGAACAAUGAACAAAGAAAAGCAGCUCGAAAAUAGAACUUUACAAGUCUGUAUAUAUAAAUAAUUACAUUAUUUCAAUUUCAUAGAGAAAAGAAAAUUUAAAAAAUAAAAAAAACAAUAUUUUAAA